UACGGAGGGGGCUAGCGUUGUUCGGAAUUACUGGGCGUAAAGGGCGCGUAGGCGGCCUGCUAAGUCGAACGUGAAAUCCCUGGGCUCAACCCAGGAACUGCGUCCGAUACUGGCUGGCUUGAAUUCGGGAGAGGGAUGGCGGAAUUCCAGGUGUAGCGGUGAAAUGCGUAGAUAUCUGGAGGAACACCGGUGGCGAAGGCGGCAUCCUGGACCGAUAUUGACGCUGAUGCGCGAAAGCCAGGGGAGCAAAGCGGG
rnacentral:rRNA from 1 species